GGCGCAGCUUUAUACGACCGCAGAGGUCGAUCCCUGAACAGUUGGGGCAGGUAUGGACAAAACAUUUAAGCGUGAUACAGCUCUGAAUUUGGAUUGUGAUCAAAUUUUUGACAUUAUAUGGUUUUUUACACAAAAACAAAUGUCAAGAUUUUACAAAUCAAUUAAAGAUUUCUUCUUCAAACUUAUUUAAAUCUAAAAUUAAAUAGUUGACACAGCAUAGGUUUCUGACACAGAAUGAAUGUGGUCUAAUGAACUUAAAAUUUUUUUUGCCUUUGAGCAAUUCACUAUGCUGUUGAAUAUUAAUCCUG
rnacentral:lncRNA from 1 species